UUUUACUCUGUCCGUUGCUCUCUCUCACUUUAUCCGUUCCUCUCUCUCUCUGUCCGUCCCUCUCUCUCUCUCUGUCCGUCCCUCUCUCUCCCUCUGUCUCUUUGUCUCUGUCUCUCUCUCUCUCUCUCUCUCUCUCUCUCGAGUUAUCAAGCUCUCCCUCUCUCUGUCUCCCUCUCUCGAGUUAUCAAGCUCUCCCUCUCUCUGUCUCCCUCUCUCUGUCUCUCUCUCUCCAGAGUUAUCAGUCUCUGUCUCUCCCUCUCUCCAGAGUUAUGUCUCUCUCUCUCUCCAUAGUUAUCAGUCUCUCUCUCUCUCUCCAGAGUUAUCAGUCUCUCUCUCUCUCUAUCCAGUAUCAGUGCAUCUUCAGACUUACCCAGCAUCGUUGUCCGUCCUCUUCAGUACUUUGGAGAUGUGAGUAAGACUGUGUCUGAACUGAGAGAGAAACUAGAAGACUUCCUUAAAGAAGAAUGGACCAAGAUCUCCACUACAGUGGAUAUAGUGGAUGUUGUACUGCCUCCAGAGCCCAAGACCAGAGAACAGUUGUUACAAUAUUCCUUUCAGCUCACACUGGACCCAAACACAGCACACACACACCUCUCUCUGUCUGAAGGGAACAGAAAGGUGACCUAUACCAUAUCCAACUAUAUCCUUGUCAUCCAGACAGAUUCACCAACCAGUACCAUGUUCUGUGUAGAGAGGGUCUGUCUGGACGCUGUUACUGGGAGGUGGAGUGGUGGUAAUUUUGUUACAGCAGUCUCAUAUAAAGACAUUAGCAGAACAGGGACAGAUAGUGGAUUUGGACACAAUAACAAGUCAUGGAAUUUAGAGUACUAUAGAGGUGGUUAUUGGUUCAGACACAAUAAUGUUGUGACUAAAGUAUCAGGCCCUCAGUCCUCCAGAGUAGGAGUGUACCUGGAUCACAAGGCAGGUACUCUGUCCUUCUACAGUGUCUCUGACACAAUGACCCUCCUCCACAGAGUCCAGACCACAUUCACUCAGCCCCUCUAUCCUGCGUUUGGGAUUGGAUAUUUUCCAUUUUUCUAUGGUACUGCGGAGCUGGUUAAACUGUAAACUGAUUUGUUAUUAAUUAAAAUUCAAUACAAUGUUUUAAUCUUGUACAUUUCCAUGAAUCAUGAUGUCUGGUGUUGAUGUAUAUUGGUUGUCAUUCAGAACCAUUGAUAUGUUUUCUCAGUUGGUUCUCUGUCUCUAUGUAAUUCUCCUCAGUAUCAUUGAUCAGCUUGUUGGCUCGGUACAAAUGAUGUGUUCUCUGUCACCUGGAGCUGCAUGGAAAAUGGUCCAGGAACUAAAGGACAAUUCAGGACUAGUCAGCCCAAUAAAAGCUGGUAUCACUUACUUUCUACUAAACUAUAUGGUCUGGUUUCCCAGACACAGAUUAAUCCUAGUCCUGGACUAAACAGUAUGUUCAAUGUAGAUGUCCAGGAAACCGGCCCUAAAUGUGUCAUCUUUCAUCCUCCCAUACUGCUCAGUCCAGCAACAUUAAACCUGUCCAGCAGGUGGUGCUGUUGACCAAACCAAUAAAACCAGCAGAUAUCUUGACUUGCCUCUCAGUAUAUCAGUACUGUUCAGAAUAGUACUUUAAUAUCAUUGCAGAUUGAUGGUCUUUUUAAUCCACUAUCCAGAGUCAGGAACAGAUGAAGUUAAGUCUGCUACUGUUCAGUGAUUAAAUAUGAUUUAUGGUGAUGGGAAAUAAUAAAAAACACUCAACUUCA